GACGAACGCUGGCGGCGUGCUUAACACAUGCAAGUCGAACGAUGAAGCCGGAGCUUGCUCUGGUGAAUUAGUGGCGAACGGGUGAGUAACACGUGAGUAACCUGCCCUUGACUCUGGGAUAACUGCGGGAAACUGUAGCUAAUACCGGAUACGACCCUCAGAGGCAUCUCCUGGGGGUGGAAAGAAUUUCGGUCAAGGAUGGACUCGCGGCCUAUCAGCUAGUUGGUGAGGUAACGGCUCACCAAGGCGACGACGGGUAGCCGGCCUGAGAGGGUGGCCGGCCACACUGGGACUGAGACACGGCCCAGACUCCUACGGGAGGCAGCAGUGGGGAAUAUUGCACAAUGGGCGCAAGCCUGAUGCAGCAACGCCGCGUGAGGGAUGACGGCCUUCGGGUUGUAAACCUCUUUUAGCAGGGAAGAAGCGAAAGUGACGGUACCUGCAGAAAAAGCACCGGCUAACCACGUGCCAGCCGCCGCCGUAA
rnacentral:rRNA from 1 species